ensembl:snRNA U6 U6 spliceosomal RNA
AUGAUCACUUCAGCAGCACAAAUACUAGAAUUGUAAGGGAAAAAGGGAAGAUCAGCAUGGGCCCUGCUCAAGGAUGACAUCAAAUUCGUAAUGUAUUUCAUAUUUUU